rnacentral:misc_RNA from 1 species
GUGAAUCAUCGAAUUUUUGAACGCAAAUUGCACUCUCUUCGGAGAGUAUGCCUGUUUGAGGGUCAGUAUUAAUAAAAAUCGGUGUGUUGCUUCUUUGUGACGCUCCGGAGUUUGGGUCAUCUUAAUAUCCUUUAGGUUUUAAGAGGCUUAAAAUUGACUUUUUUUGCGCAUUUUAGAUGUACAUAAAUUCUUUUUUUUUUUCGUCUUGCUUUAUUCCCCAAAUCCUAAUUAGUUCGG